AAUGAACGCUGGCGGCAUGCCUAACACAUGCAAGUCGAACGAAGGCUUCGGCCUUAGUGGCGCACGGGUGCGUAACGCGUGGGAAUCUGCCCCUUGGUUCGGAAUAACAGUUAGAAAUGACUGCUAAUACCGGAUGAUGACGUAAGACCAAAGAUUUAUCGCCGAGGGAUGAGCCCGCGUAGGAUUAGCUAGUUGGUGUGGUAAGAGCGCACCAAGGCGACGAUCCUUAGCUGGUCUGAGAGGAUGAUCAGCCACACUGGGACCGAGACACGGCCCAGACUCCUACGGGAGGCAGCAGUGGGGAAUAUUGGACAAUGGGCGAAAGCCUGAUCCAGCAAUGCCGCGUGAGUGAUGAAGGCCUUAGGGUUGUAAAGCUCUUUUACCCGGGAUGAUAAUGACAGUACCGGGAGAAUAAGCUCCGGCUAACUCCGUGCCAGCCGCCGCCGUAA
rnacentral:rRNA from 1 species